rnacentral:rRNA from 1 species
GAAAGUAAAAAAGGGCGCAUGGCGGAUGCCUUGGCUCUCGGAGGCGAUGAAGGACGUGAUAAGCUGCGAUAAGCUUUGGGGAGGUGCAAAUGACCUUUGAUCCAGAGAUUUCCGAAUGGGACAACCCAAUAUCUUGAAGAGGUAUUAUCCAACGUUGUUGGAGGCUAACGCAGGGAACUGAAACAUCUUAGUACCUGCAGGAAAAGAAAAUAAACAAUGAUUCCCCCAGUAGUGGCGAGCGAACGGGGAACAGCCCAAACCAUCCAUGUUACGGCAUGGGUGGGGUUGUAGGACUACGCCGUUGCAUGAAGACAUCAGAGAAGAACUUUCUGGAAAGAAAGACCAUAGAGCAUGACAGUUGCGUAUUCGAAUGUUGUCGAAGCAUAGUAGUAUCCUGAGUAGCGCGGAGCACGAGGAAUUCUGCGUGAAUCUGCCGGGACCAUCCGGUAAGGCUAAAUACUCCCGAGAGACCGAUAGCGAACCAGUACCGUGAGGGAAAGGUGAAAAGCACUUCGAACAGAAGAGUGAAAUAGUUCCUGAAACCGUGCGCCUACAAGCGGUCGGAGCUCGUUAAUGAGUGACGGCGUGCCUUUUGCAUAAUGAACCUACGAGUUGCCUUUGCCGGCAAGGUUAAGUGUGACGACACACGUAUCCGAAGCGAAAGCGAGUCUGAAGAGGGCGUAUAGUCGGCAGUGGCAGACGCGAAACCAAGUGAUCUACCCUUGGCCAGGUUGAAGGCUGGGUAACACCAGCUGGAGGACCGCACCAAUAAGCGUUGAAAAGCUUCUGGAUGAGCUGAGGGUAGGGGUGAAAGGCUAAUCAAACUUGGAGAUAGCUCGUACUCCCCGAAAUGCAUUUAGGUGCAGCCUUGCGGGUUACUGAUGUGAGGUAGAGCGACUGAUAAGAUGCGAGGGCUUCACCGCCUAUCAAGUCUUGACAAACUCCGAAUGCGCAUCAGUUCUACCGCAGGAGUGAGGGCAUGGGUGCUAAGGUCCGUGCCCGAGAGGAGAAGAAUCCGGACCACCUGCUAAGGUCCCGAAAUGACAGCUAAGUUAAACUAACGAAGUCUGACUGCUAAGACAGCUAGGAUGUUGGCUUGGAAGCAGCCAUUCAUUUAAAGAGUGCGUAACAGCUCACUAGUCGAGGAGUCGGGCGUGGAUAAUAAUCGGGUAUCAAGUUGUCUACCGAAGCAGUGGGAUCAUUAAUAUGAUCGGUAGGGGAGCAUUCCAGUCGGCGUCGAAGGCGUACCGUGAGGUAUUCUGGAGCGUCUGGAAAAGCAAAUGUAGGUAUAAGUAACGAUAAAGGGGGCGGGAAACCCCCUCGCCGAAAGACUAAGGUUUCCUGAUCAACGCUAAUCGGAUCAGGGUCAGUCGGGUCCUAAGGCUCAGCCGAACGGCGAUGCCGAUGGCAGAAACGGUUAAUAUUCCGUUACUACCUUCAGGAGUGACGUGGAGACGCAGUAGUGACAGUGCCGCCAUCUGACGGAAUAGAUGGUUGAAGGGUGUAGGAGUCGAUCAUGGCAGGCAAAUCCACCAUGAGAUCCGAACCUGACAGUAUGCCGCGUCCUUCGGGACAAGGCAAUAGUGCGCGUAAGCAUGCUGCCGAGAAAAUCCGCUAAACUUAAUCCUGCAGGUACCCGUACCGCAAACGGACACACGUAGUCGGGAUGAAUAUUCUAAGGCGCUUGAGUGAUUCACGGUUAAGGAACUAGGCAAACUGACCCUGUAACUUCGGGAUAAAGGGUCCCUACCCUUUUAUGGGAGGGCGCAGAGAAUCGGUCCAGGCAACUGUUUAACAAAAACACAGGGCUGUGCCAAAUCGAAAGAUCCAGUAUACAGCCUGACACCUGCCCGGUGCUGGAAGGUUAAGAGGAGAUGUCAUCGAUAAGAGAAGCGUUGAAUUGAAGCCCCAGUAAACGGCGGCCGUAACUAUAACGGUCCUAAGGUAGCGAAAUUCCUUGUC